AGAAUAUUUUUUUCCAUGAAAUCACUAGGUCAAAUAUGUUUACACUGUUAUGGUGUGUUUCUCAGGUGAGCGACCUAGGGCCAUCUUGGCCCUCUUGUUUGAAUUACAAAGUGCAUUGCCCAAGUGCUUUCCUUAAAAUCUCAGGAUCCUGCGCAAAUGUGUUUAAUAUUGUCAUGAAGUUGCUACCCUCUUCCAUAUGGCCAUGUGUUGCUAUAUUCUGCUCCGUACAAACAGCAGUGACAUUUAUUAUUUCACCUAGUACAUCUGUGUGUCUAUUUCUUUGUACAGAAUUCUUUGUUGAUUCAGAUAUUUUCUUGUAGAUCGAAUCAUGUUUUCCUGGCUUGAUAGUCGCAUAUUUCCUUUUAGGACAGACACAUCAAGGUGACAGGAUUCUUUAUAUUAAUGUCUUUUGAGCCAGAUGGAAAAAUUCUUCGAAUCUGUUACUGCUAGCUCUAAUAUGAAGGAUUUCUCCCUACUGCCAACGCGCCAAAACAAAACGUAGUUAGCACAAUAUACUUCGUGACGCGCCUAGCUCAAAAAGUAUAUGAUAUAAUUUGAUGAAACCUUGCAUGAGUCUUUAUUGUGAUAUGAACUUGCGCACCUCCUAUUUUUCCUCUGGCUCUGCCCCCUCUUUCCACAGUUAUGGCCCCUGAAAUAGUAAAAAAUUCACAUUUUCACCUUGUGACGCGCCUAGCUCAAAAAGUAUUUAAUAUAAAUUCAGGGGUGCAAGUUUUCUCGUUUAUACCUUAUUUCCAGUUUUUCGAGGGUCUGAGAGAUCAUUUUUCAAAAUCGUGUAAAUCCGUUGAGAAAAUGAUGCCAGACCAUGAAGACAGAAACUGACCGAUUUGCGGAGGUGCAAAUGCAGGAGCAGUUGUCGUUCGUUGCAAGGGAAACAACCAUUUUGCGACAUCCCGACGGCCCAGUACGGACAUGAAAGAGUUGGACAAGGAGUGUAAAAAUAGAGUGGAGAUGGGAUUGGAUGAAUGAGAAGGACCCGUCUGGCAACAAAUACGACAGUUGGUUGAAAAAAAAAACAGACCUUCCAGCCGUAUAUUGGAAAACGAUAAAGUAUCAGUCGUCGGGGGAAAAAGGCAGUGCAGAAUCAUUCAAAGGAUAAAACCCACCAAAAAAACAAACUUGGAAACUGUAAAAACUAAUCAGGUACUUCCUGGCUGUGGAUUCUCGUGUAGAGUCAAUGCAGGAGAGAAUCCUUACUACAGCAGUUGUAAGUGAACAUUGUCUGCCGUUCUCUCUGGCAGGUGACAUCAUAGAUCUAGUGAAAUGACUUGCUGAAGACAAGGUAGCACUAGAUAAAA
rnacentral:lncRNA from 1 species